GCACGACUCAGUAUAACAAAAACAUUGGUUAGUUUAUAUCAAGAGAUCUCAGCGAUCGAACCGCAGACGAAGACAACCAAAAGAUUAACUUAAGAAUAAGAAGAAGAAGAAGAGAAUAAUUGGCUUUAAAUCAUUACACAGUAAAUUCUAUAGAACUUAGAUCCUUAUAAGGAAUUUCUUGCACUCGUGUUCACAUAGGCAGGGGGUAGUGUUUACGGUCAUUUCAUCGGCCGCUAAGAGCAGCAUAAAGCGACUACGGCAAUUUCAGAGCAGCUUGGACAAAGACUAAUGAAGACUGUUGUACAUACCAAUACCAAAACUUUUUCUCUCUCUCUCUUUCUCUCUCUCUCUCUCUUUCUCUCUCUCUCUCUAUCUCUCUCUGUCUCUUUCUUUCUCUCUAUCUCUCUCUAAUGUGUACGCUCUGAUUCUAUCUCGUACACGUUAAUCACAUCAAUCUAUAUACUGAACAUUGUAUUGGCAACGAAAAUCUUGCUUGACCAUGGAUAAUAGUCCGUUUAGUCUUGCUUUGUUGACAUCUCUCUUAUUCUCCUUUUCUCUUGCUAUCUCUCUCUUUUUGUCUCUCUUGCUCUCUUUAUCCUUCUCUAUCUCCGUUACCGUAUCCGUUUAUCUCUUAUUCACUAUACUAAUACCUAUCUCUCUCUCUGUCAUUCUCUUAUUCAUUCUCUUAAUCGCUACCAUUAUCCCAUCCUCUUUGUAUUUCUCUCUUUCUUUAUCUUUCUUAAUUUCCAUCUUAAUACCUUUCUUUCUAUCUUUCUCUUUCUUUUGUUAUUUCCUAUGUUAUUUCUUACUAUCCGUACCCUUUUCUCUAUCAAUUUCUCUCUUUCUAUCUCUUUUGCUCUCUUGCACCAUAUCACCAUCUAUUUUUCUAUCUUUACAUUUACUUUUUCGCGAGUAAACGAAAAGGAAAAUCGAGAAUCGACCCAAGGAAAGAAAGUAUUUUCGAGAGAGAGAGAGGCGGGGGGGAAUGAUUUCAGAGAAGCUUUUCGUGAUUUUUUAAUGGUAAAGUAAGACAUUUUCGAAUAUCUCAUAUCAGAAGUUGCUCGCGACUGAUACGCGUAUGAUGUUACGUAUUCCAUCUAUUAGUGUCGUUCUUAUGGAGAGAGAGAGAGAGAGAGAGAGAGAGAGAGAGAGAGAGAGAGAAAGUAAUUUUGUUUUGUCACGUUAAGGGUGGUUCAAUUUAUCAAUCAUCAAGUUGUAUUAUAUAAGAAGGAAAUGAUUUGAGAAGAUGAGAAGAGAGAAGACAGAUUGAUCUACUGUAGAUACGAUAUUAUAGAUAAUAAAUCAGAUUAAUGUUUCGUUAUGUGAUUAAUGUAAUGCUCAUCUAAUUUAUCGAACAUUGAAGCAAUAUCGACGCAUAAUCGUUCAAUCCAUUUUUUAUAAUAUCUUAUAUUUAACAAAAAGAUAUCAUGUUUGUGGAAAUUUUUAUUAUACUCAUUGUCUUUGAUAAAUGUAUAAACAAAUAUGUGAAUAUGUCUGUUAUUAAAAGAAUAAGUGUAAUAGAUUGGAUUUUUUAAAUAGAGGAAAACCAUUGAAAGCGGAAAAGUGGUCGAUCAAAAAUAGCGACAGCAUAUAUAGAAGUGACAAGCCAUUUGUAUGUGAUAAUGAACUAACUGAUGAGAAAGAGAGAAAAAGAAAGAGAAAAAAGAAAGAAAAAAGAUAGAUAGAUAGAUAGAUAGAUAGAUAGAUAAAUAGAUAGAUAAAUAGAUAGAUAGAGAGCAAGAGAGAGGGAAUAUGAAUAAUUAAAAGGAGGAUGGAUACGCAUCUGAGUCGUGAAAAGUGUUGCUCAAGCAAAUACGGAUUUUACGUAGAGAUCGUUGUUACUACGACGUUGUUACUACGACGUUGUUACUACGAUGUUGUUACUACGACGAUAUAUGGGGUGAAAAUAAAGGAGAAAAAGAGAGAGAAAGAAAAAAGGAAUCUCUUGGAUUGUGUCUGUGUACAUAUUUUCAUAAGCGUGAAGAGUGAAAAGUGUGGAUGAUUUUUUCGUCGGAACGAUGAUCCGUCGACGACAUCCAACGAAUCUUAUUUUGCUUCAAAAAGUUAAGAAUCUUUAAAUAGCCUGAAAUAAGAAUACUCUUAUUCUUAGCUCUUUCAUUGUUGUAUCCUUAAGGAAGAGAAAAGGAAGAAGAAAAAAUGAUAAAGAAAAAAAGAGAGAAAAAAAAGAAAAGAAGAAGGAACUUUUUGAAAUCGUUUUUUUUUCAAAAUUAGUUUCGUUAUUCUGAUGAAACUAGACGAAUAGAUCGAUUAGAAAAAAGUUUGAUCGAGGAACGAUCGAUUAACAUUAGAU